rnacentral:misc_RNA from 1 species
AAGUCGUAACAAGGUUUCCGUAGGUGAACCUGCGGAAGGAUCAUUAACACGUAUCCAACGUUAAACCCCCCCGUGAAUAUUAAGCGUGCUCUUACAUCCUUGCACAACAGCAAUCUCUGGUAAAUCAUGUCGAACGGUUUGAUUCAGAGACCUCUGGCUUGUGCGAUGACGGCGGAAGCUAAAGGUGUAAUCGAGCGCUAGGUUCAGUGGUUUGGUCUUCCCCUCAAACCACUUCAAUGAAUGUCAGUGUCAUUGAAGUGUGAUGGGGAAGUCGCUUAACGACGCUGUAGGCACACACGGGCCGGCCUACGCUGACAUGUGGUUUUAGGGAGGCUUGCGCCUGGUGAUUUGGACGCCCUUCUGUCGUGGUUGGGCGUAAAAACGAACAACUGUUAACAAUGGAUAUCUUGGUUCUC